UGCCAUACAGUGAUUAAGCAUCUCAGGAAGACAAAUGGGACAAUAGGGGACAAGUCCAAAGAAUGCUUCUCUUGGUAUGUAUGUUCCUGGUUCCAGCUUUGCCACGUGGUGCUCAAAAGCGUGUGUAUUAUGGUCUGAUGACAUCAGAGGCAGAUGUUGGUGGUAUGGAAGUAGAGGUUGGACCUUCCCACUCCUAUUCCAUUGUGUUUUGUUGCUACAUGACAGAUGGCAGCAGAUGGGCAGUCUGACAAAAUGGCAUCUGACAUGGAAGUGCAUAUAGAGGAAAGUUGUAUUAACCAAAGCUCCUCCAGGAAUUCCUGCUGUCAGGCAGAUCUCCUGGUACAUGGUAGAAAAUUAAAGAAUCAGUGAAGAGCACCGUUCAAAAUCCAGUCAUCCUGGACUGGCUCUGAAACACAGAAAAGGACAGUUCUUUCUGAAAGAAGCCAUGGAAGAAUGUCAUUUCCUUCCUACAGUGUCCACCAUGCAUAUUAAAUACGAGGAGAGGAAGAUGAAGUGAAAGAGAAUUUGGCAUGAG
ensembl:lncRNA